ensembl:lncRNA
CACAAACAGGAAAAACUGCUUUUACUUUUCCUAAAGAGGAACUGUUUAUGCCUCAUGAUGCAUUGAUGCCUGGAACUGGGCUUGCUUUAAAGUAGAGCGGAAAUGUAAGAAAUGCUCUUAGCAUAGGACAAGCAGAGGAAAAAAAUGGCUCUGCUGUGCACUUUUAACCUUGCUGGUGUGAAUCCUUGAGGAAAUGUGCAGCAUGGGUGUGAGAUGAGGGAAACCCUAUCAUUACAGCUGCCAAAUGCAAAACAAGGCCUAUGAAGUUUCCUAGUUCUCUGUGUAUCGACUCAAGCAGAAGGCAGAAAGACUUCACAGUGAAGGAGGAUCAACACAACAUGCUACUGCUGUGUCAUCACUCAACUCCUAGAGAACACAAUGGAAAACUUCUGAUUAAUGACUUGGAGAGUUGGAGUUACGUUCAAAGCCCCAAAUGAGAUGAAAUGCCUUCUUUAAAGCCCUGUGAAAAUGCUGAAACUUGAUUCUGUCCAUCAGUGGCUCCCUCCCAGUGAUACCACAGGAAACUUUGGAGAGUGGUCCUCAGACUAUUUCAUACAUGGAUCUGACGGCUCGUUUAUAUUGUGUAAUUACGGUGAUGGCCUCUGAAGAAGCUUGAGGACCAGGAGUGGUGUGUCUGCCAAACUACAGGAAGCCACAGCCCCUUUGGUUAUACUUUUCAAAUACCUGAAGCCAGUGGAGUGCUUUAUAGUGGAACAGGCAGCUACGAGAACAUGAUAUGUGACAGCAUGCUCAGUGAAUGUCCUCAUGAGUCAAAGAGACCGUCGACUUACCAGAGCACCGCUGAGCAGCACCCAGUGCGUGUGACUCAGACUAAAUAAAAGACAAAAGGAUCUAUCACACACCACUGCUGUCAUCUUAUUCUGAAAAGUGCAACUGCCCAUAACACACGGUAAAUGUUUACAGUAAUGCUUUUAGUAAGGACCAGAAGUCCCAGUGACAUCAGAUACGCAAAUGAACUUCAGAGCCCGGGGCUUUCCCGGUUUCUCGGGCACCUGAUUUUUGAGACGACGGACCACUCCUCAGUUUUUGCCCCGGUGGGCCUCAGCCGCUGCCACCAACACCGCUCCCCUCCCAAGGCCGCCUCGCAGAGGGUCUUUCCAGCGGGGCGAGGCCUGCUGU